rnacentral:lncRNA from 1 species
AGCCUCUGCCCUCCAGGUUCAAAGGAUUUUCCUGCCUCAGCCUCCUUAGUAGCUGGAAUUACGGCUUCAGAUCCAAAUGGCACGCUAGCAUUCUCUUCCUAACAGUCCACUGUCAAGACUUCACUGUUAGAAGAAGAAUCACACCAGAAUUAAGGUCAAGUGGAUUAUCUUAUUCUUAAUUGCUGAAAAUCACACCUCAUUGAAAUUUGCUUCAUAACUGAACCAUGAAUUUUUCAUCAAACAUACUUUUGUGUUUCUCCUCCUGGCAUUCUUUAUGAGGAACUUCUUUUUGGAGCUCACUGACUUCCUGUUCUAAUUUGGUCCAGUUAUUUUCUAGAAUUGCUACACGACUGUCAUCUUGGAACAUCCUUCUGUUGGAAUCUGGGAGAGCUUACAACUUUUCAUAUCCUCUCUUCUUCUUUUGUGUUUUUCACCCUGAAGUGUACAAAGUCAAAUGAAUUUCCUAG